GUAUGCUGGAGGUAUCAGAAGUGCGAAUGCUGACAUAAGUAACGAUAAAGCGGGUGAAAAGCCCGCUCGCCGGAAGACCAAGGGUUCCUGUCCAACGUUAAUCGGGGCAGGGUGAGUCGACCCCUAAGGCGAGGCCGAAAGGCGUAGUCGAUGGGAAACAGGUUAAUAUUCCUGUACUUGGUGUUACUGCGAAGGGGGGACGGAGAAGGCUAUGUUGGCCGGGCGACGGUUGUCCCGGUUUAAGCGUGUAGGCUGGUUUUCCAGGCAAAUCCGGAAAAUCAAGGCUGAGGCGUGAUGACGAGGCACUACGGUGCUGAAGCAACAAAUGCCCUGCUUCCAGGAAAAGCCUCUAAGCAUCAGGUAACAUCAAAUCGUACCCCAAACCGACACAGGUGGUCAGGUAGAGAAUACCAAGGCGCUUGAGAGAACUCGGGUGAAGGAACUAGGCAAAAUGGUGCCGUAACU
rnacentral:rRNA from 1 species